rnacentral:lncRNA from 10 species
CAUGAGCCUCUGCCCAGCUGGACGAGUCUCCUCAACACGCCACCUCGCCCUGCCCACAGAGGGCCUUGGCUCUCACCUUCUCGCCUGCCUAUAAGGCCCGCCCACAUUCCUCCUCUCUCCCAGCCAAACCCCAUCUGUCCUUCAACACCAAGUAGAAGUCCCCUCCUACACACACUCCUCUCUGACCAGUGAAAGAGCUCCGUGAGCCCAGCAAACUCCUGUGGCAUACCCUGGGUACCUAUCCCUGGCCGCCUCUCACUGGCCAUGGGCUCUGGGGAUCUCACGCUCCUGGCCACGCCUGCAGUGGUGAGUGCGGUGCUGGGCACCCAGCAAGUAGGCCCGCAGUGGCUGCUGACAGAUGGAUGGACUGCCACACAGUCCAGCAGCAGCCACACACCAGCUACCAGCAGCCCCACGGGUGGCCCAGGAGUGAGAUGGGACAACGGGAAGGAAGCAAACUAACUUUUACUGAAGUCCAAAUCACACUAGCAUGGUGGCACUUGCAUAUGGGAGACCUCACUUCACACUUGGCAACGGUCCUCUUAGGUGGAUGUUAUCAUCCCAUGUUUACAGACAAGGAAACUGGGGCCCACGGCUGGGGCACUGAUAAGUGACUUUCCAAGCCACACACAGUAAGCAGAGAGGCCUGGAUUUGAAACCACAUCACUGAUCUCCUCAGAGCCUCGAAGAGAGAAGACCUGCCCUUCC